GCCUGCAUCGCUUAGUGGUAAAGCACAUCACACAGCAUGGUCAAUCUGUUGCGAAUGAUCUUUACGUCUUUGACGGUGCGUCUACAUCUUCGCUGGACCAAGCAUACUGUGUGAUGAGAUCCCCGGUUCGAUUCCGGGUGCAGGUU
rnacentral:tRNA from 1 species